GUACCUAAGUCCAAGAGUAGUAAACCUAACCCUAAAUAGACUUCAACAAGUGAGGACCGGCCGAAUGUCCUCACUUGUCUGAAUUAUAGUUGGUUUACUACUCUUGGACUUAGGUACUCACCAGUAUAGUACAGUGUAACACACACACACACACACACACAGGUUGUGUUCUUUUGUUAUUCCUCUUUCACACACAUUCUGUCUUCUUUCUCAUUCUCACUCUCAUAGGCUGCACACGUCUCUGGAGGACUGGGGGCUUGUUCCGCGCCUCCGGGGACUGUGGGGCUUGUUCCGUUCCGCUCUCUGGAGGACUGUGGGACUUGGCCUCCGUCUCUGAGGACUGUGGGGCUUGAUCCGCGUCUCUGGAGGACUGUGGGGCUUUGUCCGCGUCCUCUGGAGACUGUGGGGCUUGGUCCACGUCUCUGGAGGACGUGGGGCUUGGUCCCACGUCUCUGGAGGGCUUGGUCCGCGUCUCUGGAGGGCUUGGUCCGUGUCCUCUGGAGGACUGUGGGGCUUGGCCGCGCUCUGGAGGACUGUGGGGCUUGGUCCGCGUCUCGGAGGGCUUGGUCCGCGUCUCUGGAGGACUGUUGGGCUUGGUCCACUCUCGGGAGGACUGUGGGGGCUUUGGUCGGCGUCUCUGGAGGGCUUGGUCCGCGUCUCUGGAGACUGUGGGGCUUGGUCCACGUCUCUGGAGACUGUGGGGCUUGGUCCGCGUCUCUGGAGGACUGUGGGCCUUGGUCUGCGUCUCUGGAGGACGUGGGGCUUGGUCCACGUCUCUGGGGACGUGGGGCUUGGUCCGCGUCCUGGAGGACUGUGGGGCUUGGUCCACGUCUCUGGAGGACUGUGGGGCUUGGUCCACGUCUCUGGAGGACUGUGGGGCUUGGUCCACGUCUCUGGAGGACUGUGGGGCUUGGUCCACGUCUCUGGAGAACUGUGGGGCUUGGUCCACAACAACUGCAUGCAGUUGGCCGUCUAGAAAUCAACUGUUCUUAACAAAAAACGACUCACUCUGCAAUCACCGAUCUGAAG
rnacentral:lncRNA from 1 species